CGCUGGGUGGUACAAUUGGUUAGGCGUGGGCCUUGCAUGCCCAAAAUUGCAGGCUCUACCCCGGCCCUAGUGG